rnacentral:lncRNA from 10 species
AAGGACACCCACAAGUUCAGUAAGGUGGCCAGGGUCACACAGGGAGAAGGAUGUAGGACCAGGACUCAAACCCUGGCAGUCGGGACCCAUAGCCUUAACUGUGUGUGUGCGCACGUGUGUGUGAGAGAAAGAGACAGUGGGGUAUGUUUCAAAGACAGACAUGGAGGUGGUGCUAUGCAUAUGGUUCAUAUGAGUCCCCUCCAAAGACUAUUUCCAGACUAAAUAGUGGCUCCAAAAGCUGACAUUUACUGAGCGCCUAUUAAAUCUUCUCGAAUUCUUACAAUAAUUCAGCAAGAAUUUUCAGUUUUGAGGUGAGAAAACAGAGAUUCAGAGAAGCGAAGCGAAUUGGCCAAGAUUACCCAGAUAGUAAGGCAGAUGGCGGACCAAGACUUGAGUCCAGAGGCCAAGCUCUUUGUGGCCCACCUUGUCUGGAGAGGGCCCCCUCACCUUGUCAAGUGUAUGAGUCAAUCAGACUAUGAAGUAGCUCACAGAACUCUUUCAUAAAUUUGUUUGCAUUUUCAUUACACAUAUUAUCCAAAAGAAUCUUGUAUCCUAUGUCAUCUGGCUGAUAAAUUUCUGAUCUCACUCUAUGGAUCACUGGAAGAAGAGAAUGGACUCCUCCUUGCUGAUCAUUUUUAUGUGGAAUAUCAAACCAAUGUUGUGGAUUCAUUGACAUGCAUAUACUUCAGAACUAAAGAGAGAGCACAGUGAUAGUCCCUGAAUGCUUGCCCUAAGGAAGGAGCUUCCCCAAAAUACAAGGCAAGAAGAUGCUACACGGGUCUUUCCACUCCACAAUUUCACUUAGGAUCUGAUUGUUUUUGCAUUUUCCCUUUCGAAGAAUUUUGUAACUAGCCAGAAGGUAAGAAUGUCACCUCCGUCCUAAUCUGGACAUGAGCUAGGAUCUAAACUUAAUGGGCAAACUCAUGUGUGGCUUCGGGCAGCAUCAUUUUGCAUGGGGUUUUGUCUGAAGGUGGAUGAAGAUGCAGGUAGCUGAGGGGGACACUAACAUGGGGAGGCCAGUGUGGUGUCUGUUUGAAACUGGUCUGUAGCCCAGCAUGGUCCCCAGGCCAGAGGAUCUGCAGGCAAGACUGUAGGUGCUGAUUUAUGAGGGGCUCCGGGAGAAGGGGCCAGGAGCAGUUCUGCUUUGGAGGAGUUGCACAGGGUGGAAGAGAGGUCUAUUACCCCAAAUCAGGGAGGACCUAGAUGUUCUCACUGAGGAGUAGGGGCCAACUGUAGCCAUCAGCUGGGUGGGGACUGGGCAGCUGAGCAGAACAAAGGAAGGACUGUUUGUGAGUACCUGUGAGACACCCCUCAGGGUCCACAGAAAGUCUUGGAGAGGGGUGCCCUCCUGUACUGGGAGCGCUGCAGAGAUCAGAGCCUGUGAAAUCUGGAUCGUUGCUAUUAGUGUGACUCAUUAGUAUCCACAGACUCCCAGCCAUGGGGAUAUAUGGUUUAUAAGAGCAACACCCGUAAGAGUGGGGAGUGGGGUGGUCCAUGAAUACAGGUGUGAUGGGUUCUGUACUACCAGGCAGCCUGUGAAAAGGAGGUAGGGUCAUAUUUGUGCUUGGGGUAUAGGCAUGUGAUAAGUGAAUAGAUAAAUAGUUCUCUUGAAAAGAUCUCUCAGGUAGGGCCUUGAGUUUCAGGGUCACAAAUAUGAUCCAAGUUGCAAGAUCUCAGAGUAUGGAAUUCUGAGACUCUUGGACUUAGAAACAAAAACACAUAAACAGGAAGCUCUGGAAGCAGUGGAAGAACCUGGAAAAGCCCAUCUGUCCAGAGGCUGUCAACAGUGGGCACAGCAAAGGGCACGUUCACAUUGGCAGGUGCACAGCAUGGACUGAGCCCAGGGAGUUUCCGGAGGUGUGGGGUGCCUAGGUAUCCAGGCAUGUUCACAGGCAACCACAUACAGACCCAUUUCGAGGGCAGGUGGGGCUCAGUCUCCAGGAUUUCCAACUUACCUGACACUAUCCCCCAAUUCCCAAGCAGGUGUUUGAGCCAGACUCCCAUGCAAGCAGGGACAGGACCCCACCCUGUGCCUUCACUAGUUUUGGGAGACCACCAGCAGUGCUGGGUGCAGUCCACAUAUCUGCUGAGUCUUUCAUCUUCAUAUUGUGUCUCGGUACUUUUAAUUAAAGGAUCCCAGAAAGCCGACUCCUAAAGGAGGCUGGUGUUGAGCCAGGCCCUUAUAUAACACACCUACUUGCUAUAAACAAGAGCACCAGAGAAAGGUUUCCAAUUGGAUUGAAAGUGUUCCCCCUUUUGUCUGCAGUUUGGACAACUUCAAGGCUGUAAAGAUGAGUCUACCCCACAUAUAUUAUUGUCCUUACAUGUUCUCUCCCUUUUUGUUCUCUCCCUUCUAACUCAACCUUCAACUCCCUAUCGUGGAAGGAAAUAUAGUUGUUGUGUGUGUGCAUGUGUGUGUGUGCCUGCGUGCAUGCAUGUAUGUGUGAAUGUGUGCGUGUGCGUGUGUGUUUCUCAGCAUAAUCCGCUUUAGCAGGCUGCUAGAUCUGACCAGUAGCAGCAGCUGUGGCAGCUGCAGCAGUGGCUGAUUGCACUGGAAGGGCAUGGAUAAGCCUGUUUGAUGGAACCAAGAAGGAAGGCAUUUAAAACCUUCAUGUCUUUCUACUGCUCUUUGCAAGCCCUCAUUAGCUUCACUAGAGGGAAAACUUAUCUUGUAGGGUUCAGUCGCUGUCUUCCUCUGGGCACACAGCACAAUCAGGAGGGAUUUCCAUUCAAAAUAAAGGAGGUGGAGUUGGAUUUUUAAAAAGAGAGAAAGGGAGAAGAGCAUACUCUCUCUCAUCUGCUGAAACUCACUGAGCCAGGUGACCUCCUGAAAAGGGUUUUUGAAGGCGUCUCUCAUAAGAUGGCAUUUGAGCAGAGACCUGAGGAAGUGAAAGAUGGAGGGCUGAAGCUUCCAGUUAGAGGAACAAGCAAAGACCCCGAGCAGGAUCAGGUUUGAUGUCUUCAAGUAAUAUCCAGGAUGGGAUGAAGCUGCAGGGGAGUGAGCAAGGUGUAGACAGGUAGAAGGUGAGGUUGGAGGAGUGGGUGGACGGGGAGGAAUCAUCCCACAGGGCCUUGUACGCACUGCAAAAACUUUAGUCUUUUGCUCUAAGAAAUUAAGUCCGUUAAUUAAAAACAAAUGAACAGAAACAAUUUUGGCUUUUACUCUGAAUGAGAAUCCACUUAGGGGUUUUGAGCAGAGGUGAGACAUGAUCUAACUUACAUUGCAAGAUGGUCUCUCUGGCUGCUGUGUUGGGAACAGACUGUAGGGGCAAGCGUGGGCACUUGGAGGGCAGGGAGGGGGCCACCACUGUAGUCACCCAGGCAGAGAGGUGGUGACAGACGAGGUGUCAAUUGUGGAGGUGCUAAGAAGUGGUCACUUCAUCUGUAUAUACAAAGGAGAGCCAAAUAGAUUUAUAGAGCAUAGCAGGGAAGAAUCAAGAGUGACUCCAAGGUUUGGGGCAGGGGCAUAGGGUAGAACCAAUGGAUUGUUGGGGAUCAUCCUACUGGAGACAAAGAAUGGUUGGAGUAUUGGGGAGUGAGUUAAAAAGAGAAGAGGUAGUGCCUGGAGAACGGGAGGCUUGACGUUGAGAUUAUGGAGGAGAUGCAACUACUGGGAAUGAUAACACCAAAGGUGGAACCCUGCGAGUAGGUAGCUGUGUGGGGUGGAGUCAGUGGUGGGGUGGAGAGCAACAGCAUUGGAGAAGAGGGCAAGGAACUGGGAGUCCAGAGAGGGAACAAGUGAAGACUCAAUGUGGGUAUUGAUGUCACCAAGAAUUAUGACAUGAGUUGUGUUAGAGACAGGGAACGUGAGCCAUACACUGAAAUCCUUAAUAAAUGAAGAGAGGUGUCACAGGGAGAAGUAGAUGAUUGAAGCCAGGAGGGGUAGCCCAUGUUCUGCAACAGGAGUUUCAAAGUUAGGGGUAUUUAGAGAGGGUGGAGGGAGAAUGGUUUGGAAGCAUCGAUGGGGAAGAGGAAGCAUACAUCCACCACUCCAGAUCAAGUAAUUCAAGAUAUGUGGAGAAAAAUGAGCUAUGAUGUUAAAACGCUGCAGGGAACAUGGUGUCAUCAGGGGAGAGCCAAGUUCUAAUUAGAGCAAGAAGUUGAGAGGAGUGACCAAGUAGGAGGUUGAGGAUAUAGGGGAUUCAGCUGAUGACUGACUAGAAGUCUUCAAAAGUGGGGAGGAGUAGACGGUGCAUCCAGGUUGGAUGUGUUGUGUGGGAAUGUGUCUGGGUGAGGUGAGAUAAUCUGGGAGUUUGUGGUGAAGGGUGAGAUGGGAGUGGUUCUGUGGGUCAAUAAGGCAGAUUGCAGUGAUGGAUUGUUGGCCAGAGGUUUGGGGUGCUGGGAAGGGGGAGUUAUGAGGGCCUUUCCAGAAGCACUCAGAUCUCUGCCAUUCCUCCUUGCUCCUGCUCAUGGAUGUGUGGAAGAAACACAUGGGGAAACACACGGAGCACUGCCCUGCAUCAACCCUGUGGGAGAGGGGUGGACGACGGGGAGGGUCAACCUUACCUGGAGCCUACAGAGCUCUGGGGCUCCUCUUCUCUAGCGGAGGAACCAAGAAACUCGAGCAAUGCUGGGAAGGGUUCAGGAAAUCCAGCCCUCCCAUCCACAACUUGUGGCAGUGUAACUUGGGAGUUUGUUUUUGGAAAAAAAAAUUAAAAGAAAGUGUGGUAGAGACAUAAUCAAAGAUUCAGACAAAGAUAUAACUACAGAAUGCACAUGACGGUUUUGUUAAUACACCAAAAGGAAAAAAAUUAAAUAACGGACUCUCCCAAUAAAUUGUGACCAUCUAUAGUUUGGAAUAACAUGAAGAUUGUUAAAAACUAUGUUUACAAGAAUGGCAAUAACAGAGAAACACUUGCUAUAUAAUUUUCACAAUAACAAGGUGAAGAAAUAUUAUAUAUAUAUAUAAUAAAAUUCAAAUUUUUAAGAGAAAUUAAAAUGUAUAGAAAACAUUGGAAAAGGAUACACUUAAUAAUCUUUUUUUCAGCAUGGUAGAAUUGUGGGUGAUUUUUGUUCCCUUUAUAUUUUUUAAUACUUUGUACUUUUUAAUGACAAAUGUAUAUACUACCAUUUAAUGAUAAAAAUAUAUUUUUAAAAUACUGGAUAAGAAUUAUUCAAAUAAAUGCCUUAUUUAAAAGUUAAAUUGCAGACCAAGUGCAGUGGUUCACGCCUGUAAUCCCAACACUCUGAGAGGCCAAGGUAGGAGGACUGUUUGAGGCCAGGAGUUUGAGACCACCUUGGGCAACAGAGCAAGACCCUGUCUUUGCUGGGCAUGGUAGUAUGAGCCUCCAGUCCUGGCUACUCAGGAGGUUGAGGCAGGGGGAUUGAUUGAGCCCAGGAGGUCAAGGGUGCAGUGAGCUAUGAUUGUGCCACUUGCACCCCAGCCUGGGCAACAGAGCAAGACCGUCUCUACAAAUAAAUAAGUAAAUAAAUAAGAUACAAUAAAAAUUAAAUUGCAAAUGAAAAGUUACACUCUAUCUCAUCCUAUUGUAUACUAGAAAUUAUAAUUUUCCUCCAAUUCAUUACUUUGAUUAUUCUACAAAAUCAAGACUAAACUGGAAUUCAAAUCAGAAAGGCUAAGAAGCAAAGAAUAACAAUGGUGAACUUCAAGAUAAAUAUCCCACAUUAUUUUCAAGGCAGAGGCCAGUGUUGCCUUCUGCAUCUGUUUUGGGAAGAGUGCCCAAAGCCUUCAGAGGAGACAACCUUUUGUGCUGUGUCCCCUACUCCCCCCCCCAUUCUUACCCUGAAUAGCAUUCUUUCCAAAAAAGAAUAAAGAAUACUCAAGGAAAACUAUUAAAAUGCUUGGCAAAACUACACAGACAGACACAGAGGCCAAUUAAGUAUAAAUAUUUCACACCAGAACUGUCUUUUUGACCCAGCCACUAAUAUCUACCCGGCCACAGAUCUAAAUGUUUGGAUGAAAACGACAGAGCAGAGGAGGGCUGGUCAGCCAGCUGCAGAGGGGCGCCCCUUCGGAGCGUUCGCAUCUGCCUGAAGAAUAUGUGUAGUACGUUUUCCUAGAAGCAUGGAGGGGCAUGCGGGUUUGACCAUCUUCCUAAACCUGGAGAAGGUCACUGUUUUCCUUCAGGGAUUAUUCUGUCUCACCGCUUUUGUUUUUUGGUUUCCCUUGAUCUAAAACAAAAGGGUCUACUUUCUUCUUUGGAUUUUGAAGCUGUGGGUGCCUUUCUUCUCAGUUAAUUUUUUUUUUUGUUUUCAUCUGUUAAGACUUAGCUAGUUUAGGUUUUGAAAAUGAACACACUGACAGCCAUUGUGAGAAGAUAGCCUGGCCUUUUGGAGGACAAAUGCUGUGGGGUGGCGUAACCUUGAGGCUCAAGUCCUGGCACUGGCAUUUAGUGUGAGUCAUGCUGUAUUGCUUCACCUCCUGGGCUUCAGUCUCUCCAUCUGUGAAUGUAGAAUGACAAUACCUGCUGUGCUGUAAGGUCACUGUGAAGAUUAAAUGAGAUAAUGCUUUGUAACCUGUUGGCCUCUGUGCAGUUUAAAAUGAUGUUUUUCAUUACUUGGCUAAGUGCUGUACACCCACUGCUCUGUAGGCAAAAUUCAAACAAAAAGCUUUGUAAUGCUCCCACCCAUUGAAAACAUUACUAUGUUAGCCUCUAUAUACAUAAAUUAUUAUAACAAUACCUGGAAGGUAGGAAACACACUUUGAAUUAUAUUGUUUCUAAGAGUGAGGAUAAGGAUUACUUUCAUUCAUUUAUACUUUUUGGGCACCAAUAAUAUGUAUUUGUAAGAUGAGAUGGCCACUUUAUAGAUUGCAUCUUGUAUAUUAAGAAACAAUUAAAUCUAUUUUAAAAGUACAGCUAAAAACCUCCAUUUCCCGAAAUAGCGUGGAUUAGAUUACCUAAAAUCUUUCCUACUACAAAACAUCUAGAAAUGUUAAAAACCUGUAAUAUUCUUUUAAAUUCAUUAUUUGAAUUCCAAGAAAGUAAGAAAUAUCCCUAGGGAAAAAAAUGAAGAUGGAUCUGAACACCAAAAUGUAAGCACAAGCCAAUGUUGCAACAGCCUGGGUGGGGAAAGGGGAGUGAGAAAGUAUGAAGUUGCCAAUCUUAUUAGGCAAGAGGAUCUGCCUCUCUCAAUCUCUAUCUCUCUUUUUAAAAAAUUAAAUUAAAAAAUUUCAAGCACUCACAUAGAAUACUAUAUGACACCUCCAAAUACCUGUCACCUAGAUUCAUUACCAAAAUCUUGCAACAUUUUAUCUUUAUUGUUUGUAUUUUUAUCUUUGCUGAAGUUUUUACAUUGAAUCCUAGACAUCAUGCCAUUUCACUUCACAUAUUCUUAUAUGCAUAUCUAUUUAAACAGCACAGGAAAAGAGGUAUGAGUAUAAAAUCAAAGAAUUCAAACAGAGGCCUUAUAAUGUUAAACUUGAAUUGGAAAUAUUAGCAUGAACUCUCUCUUAAGAGAGAGUUUUAUCUCUUAAGAGAAAAGGCCUGGCAAAAAUGAAAACUCAGGAGCAAGAGGUCUUUGAUGACUUCCUUUUUUCUGACACUGAAAGAUGCCCCAGGAUCUUCUUGGACAUUUCUUGUCCCAAAUCUGUAAUUAUUCAUUUUUCCAAGGAAGCCUGGUCUUCUUAGUAAGAAAUGACACUUAAUGACCAAUCCAGGACUGACACAGAUCCUAGAAUAAGCAAACAAGGACCUUGAAGCAAUUACCAUAACUGUAUUCAAUAUGUUCAAAAAGUUAAGAAAGACAUGGAACAUAAAUUUUUAAAAUUAGACUUCUAGAGAUGAAAACUACAAUGUGUGAGAUGAAAAACACACUGAAUGGGAUGAGGGGAUUAACAGUAGAUUUGACAUUUUUUAAAAAGAUUAAUGAACUGGAGGACAUAAGCAAUAAAAAACAUUCAAAAUAAAAAAUAUAGAAAAAAUAAGUUUAAAACAUGAAAAAAGCAUCAGUGAGCUGUGGCACAACUUCAAGUUUUUAAUAUAAUAGGGGAUCCUAAAGAAGGGGGGAAAUAGAAAAAUAUCUGAUGAAUAAUGGUCAAAAUAUUCCCCCCGAUUUGAUGAAAACUGUAAAACUACAAUCCAGAAAGUUCAAUGAAUCUCAAGCACAAAAAUUAUGAAGAAAACUACACCAAGAUACAUCAUAAUAAAAAUACUCAAAGCCAGUGAUAAGAGAAAAUUUUCAAAGCAGUACAUUUAUCUACAGAGGAACACAUGUAAGGGUGAUAGCAGACUUCUCAUAGGAAACAAUGCAAGUGAAAAGACAAUGGUGCAACACCUAAAAAAAGCACUGAGCACUAAGUGAAAGAAAAACUCUGUAAACCUAGUAUUGUAUACCUAGUAAAAUAUCUUUCAAAAAUAAGGUAAAAAUAAAAACUACUUUCAAACAUAUGAAAGCUGAAAGAAUUAAUCACCAGCAGACAUACACAAUUAAAC